GGGGAGAUGGCUGAGUGGUCGAAAGCGGCAGAUUGCUAAUCUGUUGUACAUUUUUAUUUUUGUACCGAGGGUUCGAAUCCCUCUCUCUCCU
rnacentral:tRNA from 1 species